GACGAACGCUGGCGGCGUGCUUAACACAUGCAAGUCGAACGGCAAGGCCCUGCUUUUGUGGGGUGCUCGAGUGGCGAACGGGUGAGUAACACGUGAGUAACCUGCCCUUGACUUUGGGAUAACUUCAGGAAACUGGGGCUAAUACCGGAUAGGAGCUCCUGCUGCAUGGUGGGGGUUGGAAAGUUUCGGCGGUUGGGGAUGGACUCGCGGCUUAUCAGCUUGUUGGUGGGGUAGUGGCUUACCAAGGCUUUGACGGGUAGCCGGCCUGAGAGGGUGACCGGCCACAUGGGGCCUGAGAUACGGCCCAGACUCCUACGGGAGGCAGCAGUGGGGAAUAUUGCACAAUGGGCGGAAGCCUGAUGCAGCAACGCCGCGUGCGGGAUGACGGCCUUCGGGUUGUAAACCGCUUUCGCCUGUGACGAAGCGUGAGUGACGGUAAUGGGUAAAGAAGCACCGGCUAACUACGUG
rnacentral:rRNA from 1 species